CCCUUAGAUGUCCUGGGCCGCACGCGCGUUACACUGAUGCACUCAACGAGCUUAUAACCUUGGCCGAGAGGCCUGGGCAAUCUUGUUAACGUGCAUCGUGAUAGGGAUAGAUUAUUGAAAUUAUUAAUCUUGAACGAGGAAUUCCUAGUAAACGCAGAUCAUCAAUCUGCAUUGAUUACGUCCCUGCCCUUUGUACACACCGCCCGUCGCACCUACCGAUUGAAUGACUCGGUGAAAAAUCGGGACUGUGGUCUAGCUUGCUUAAUUGCAAACUUGACUGUGGGAACUUUCUUUAACCUAUUCAUUUAGAGGAAGGUGAAGUCGUAACA
rnacentral:rRNA from 1 species